UAGGGAAUCUUCCGCAAUGGACGCAAGUCUGACGGAGCAACGCCGCGUGAGUGAAGAAGGAUUUCGGUUCGUAAAACUCUGUUGUUAGAGAAGAACAGCGCAUAGAGUAACUGUUAUGCGUGUGACGGUAUCUAACCAGAAAGCCACGGCUAACUACGUGCCAGCAGCCGCGGUAAUACGUAGGUGGCAAGCGUUGUCCGGAUUUAUUGGGCGUAAAGCGAGCGCAGGCGGUCAAUUAAGUCUGAUGUGAAAGCCCCCGGCUCAACCGGGGAGGGUCAUUGGAAACUGGUUGACUUGAGUGCAGAAGCGGAGAGUGGAAUUCCAUGUGUAGCGGUGAAAUGCGUAGAUAUAUGGAGGAACACCAGCGGCGAAGGCGACUCUCUGGUCUGUAACUGACGCUGAGGCUCGAAAGCGUGGGUAGCAAACAGG
rnacentral:rRNA from 1 species